UCCCGAGCGUUNUCCGGAUUUAUUGGGCGUAAAGCGAGCGCAGGCGGUUAGAUAAGUNUGAAGUUAAAGGCUGUGGCUUAACCAUAGUACGCUUUGGAAACUGUUUAACUNGAGUGCAGAAGGGGAGAGUGGAAUUCCAUGUGUAGCGGUGAAAUGCGUAGAUAUAUGGAGGAACACCGGUGGCGAAAGCGGCUCUCUGGUCUGUAACUGACGCCGAGGCUCGAAAGCGUGGGGAGCGAACAGGAUUAGAUACCCUGGUAGUNCACGCCGUAAACGAUGAGUGCUAGGUGUUAGGCCCUUUCCGGGGCUUAGUGCCGCAGCUAACGCAUUAAGCACUCCGCCUGGGGAGUACGACCGCAAGGUUGAAACUCAAAGGAAUUGACGGGGGCCCGCACAAGCGGUGGAGCAUGUGGUUUAAUUCGAAGCAACGCGAAGAACCUUACCAGGUCUUGACAUCCCGAUGCCCGCUCUAGAGAUAGAGUUUUACUUCGGUACAUCGGUGACAGGUGGUGCAUGGUUGUCGUCAGCUCGUGUCGUGAGAUGUUGGGUUAAGUCCCGCAACGAGCGCAACCCUUAUUGUUAGUUGCCAUCAUUCAGUUGGGCACUCUAGCGAGACUGCCGGUAAUAAACCGGAGGAAGGUGGGGAUGACGUCAAAUCAUCAUGCCCCUUAUGACCUGGGCUACACACGUGCUACAAUGGCUGGUACAACGAGUCGCAAGUCGGUGACGGCAAGCUAAUCUCUUAAAGCCAGUCUCAGUUCGGAUUGUAGGCUGCAACUCGCCUACAUGAAGUCGGAAUCGCUAGUAAUCGCGGAUCAGCACGCCGCGGUGAAUACGUUCCCGGGCCUUGUACACACCGCCCGUCACACCACGAGAGUUUGUAACACCCGAAGUCGGUGAGGUAACCUUUUAGGAGCCAGCCGCCU
rnacentral:rRNA from 1 species